GAUCCUGGCUCAGGAUGAACGCUGGCGGUAUGCCUAACACAUGCAAGUCGUACGAGAGUUUUUAACUCUAGUGGCGGACGGGUGAGUAACACGUGAGAAUUUGCCUUUAGGAGGGGGAUAACAAUUGGAAACGAAUGCUAAUACCCCAUAUGCUUUUGAGUGAAAUGGAUUUUAUCCGCCAAGAGAUGGGCUUGCGGCUGAUUAGCUUGUUGGUGAGGUAAUGGCUUACCAAGGCGACGAUCAGUAGCUGGUCUGAGAGGACGAUCAGCCACACUGGGACUGAGACACGGCCCAGACUCCUACGGGAGGCAGCAGUGGGGAAUUUUGGACAAUGGGGGCAACCCUGAUCCAGCAAUGCCGCGUGAGUGAAGAAGGCCUUCGGGUUGUAAAGCUCUUUUGUCAGGGAAGAAACAGCAGCUCUAACACAGUCUGCGAAUGACGGUACCUGAAGAAUAAGCACCGGCUAACUACGUG
rnacentral:rRNA from 1 species